rnacentral:rRNA from 1 species
CGCUGGCGGCACGCCUAAUACAUGCAAGUCGAACGAAGUAGCAAUACUUAGUGGCAGACGGGUGAGUAAUAUGUAGGUAUCUUCCCUUUGGUGAGGAAUAACACGAGGAAACUUGUGCUAAUACCUCAUAAGUCUUUACGGAGAAAGCUUUAUGCGCCAAUGGAUGAGCCUGCACUUGAUUAGUUUGUUGGUGGGGUAAUGGCCUACCAAGACUUUGAUCAAUAGCUGAUUUGAGAGGAUGAUCAGCCACAUUGGGACUGAGACACGGCCCAAACUCCUACGGGAGGCAGCAGUAGGGAAUCUUGCACAAUGGGGGAAACCCUGAUGCAGCGAUGCCGCGUGAGUGAAGAAGGCCUUUGGGUUGUAAAGCUCUUUCGUCGGGGAAGAAAAUGACUGUACCCGAAUAAGAAGGUCCGGCUAACUUCGUGCCAGCAGCCGCGGUAAUACGAAGGGACCUAGCGUAGUUCGGAAUUACUGGGCUUAAAGAGUUCGUAGGUGGUUAAAAAAGUUGGUGGUGAAAUCCCAGAGCUUAACUCUGGAACUGCCAUCAAAACUUUUUAGCUAGAGUAUGAUAGAGGAAAGCAGAAUUUCUAGUGUAGAGGUGAAAUUCGUAGAUAUUAGAAAGAAUACCGAUUGCGAAGGCAGCUUUCUGGAUCAUUACUGACACUGAGGAACGAAAGCAUGGGUAGCGAAGAGGAUUAGAUACCCUCGUAGUCCAUGCCGUAAACGAUGUGUGUUAGACGUUGGAAAUUUAUUUUCAGUGUCGCAGCGAAAGCAAUAAACACACCGCCUGGGGAGUACGACCGCA